rnacentral:ncRNA from 1 species
UUAUGUUUCGUCGCUACUUCUUAGAGGGACUUUGUGUGUUUAACACAAGGAAGCUUGAGGCAAUAACAGGUCUGUGAUGCCCUUAGAUGUUCUGGGCUGCACGCGCGCUACACUGACACGAUCAACAAGUAUUUCCUUGCCCGGUAGGGUUAGGGUAAUCUUUUGAAAUCGUGUCGUGCUAGGGAUAGACGAUUGCAAUUAUUCGUCUUCAACGAGGAAUUCCUAGUAAAUGCAAGUCAUCAGCUUGCGUUGAUUACGUCCCUGCCCUUUGUACACACCGCCCGUCGCUCCUACCGAUUGAGUGAUCCGGUGAGCUGUCCGGACUGCGAUUAGUUCAGUUUCUGUUCUCUUCGCGGGAAGUUCUGCAAACCUUAUCACUUAGAGGAAGGAGAAGUCGUAACAAGGUUUCCGUAGGUGAACCUGCGGAAGGAUCAUUC